rnacentral:tRNA from 1 species
GAGGGUGUAGCUCAAGUGGCAGAGCGCAUGCUUAGUACGCGUGAGCUCCUGGGUUCAAUCCCCAGUACCUCCU